UUAGUGAGCUGACCGAAAUAGAAUAUAUGUCUCAAUUGUAGACUAAUUUAUUCAGUGAUAAAAAUCAGAUACAACCAAUAUUAUAAUAAACCCAUACACCCACCCUAUUAAAUAACCAAUAUGAAUAUACUCAACUCCACUUUCGAACAAAGUAAGUUUUUUCUUUAGAAUUAGAGGACACGUGUAUCAUUAUGAUUUGUGAACAGGAGAAAGGAGAAAGCUAUUUAAGCAGAGGAUCGAUUUUAUUCCAAAACAGAGAGGACCUCAAAGCGCGAAAUCUCCUUCUUCUUCUUCGUCUUCUUCGUCUUCUUCGUCUUCUUCUCUCUCUUCUCUCGCUCUUCAUCUCUUGACUGAAUAGUAAUUGUUGGGAUAAAUGGGUAGUGAAAGUGAUGAUGCAACAGAUCAAUUACUAAAGCCAGAGAAUCUCAUUCCAAAAAAUUUGUUUGAUGAUGAUCCUCUGCCCAGCUCCUCACCACAACAUGAUAAACUUAAUCUUAAUGAUACUGAUGAUAUCAUUAAGAAUUUGCCAGACCACUUAUACUGUACUUAUACUAAACCGAAACCUCAUGAUCUGAACCCAAAGGCACCAGACUUUACACCCAAUGCUUCCCGAAUCGAACCACCCCCACCGCAGCCUCAACAACCACAACCACAACCACCACCGCAGCCUCAACAACCACAACCACCACCGCAGCCUCAACAGCCACAACCACAACCACCACCGCAGCCUCAACAGCCACAACCACAACCACCACCGCAGCCUAAACUAAAGCAUUUCCCCCGGCCACAACAACCACUGCAGCCUCAACUACAUCAUUUCCCCCAGCCACAACCACCCGCACAGCCUCAACAACCGCAUUUUCCCCAGCCACAUCCGCCCAUGCAGCCUCAACUACAGCAUUUCCCCCAGCCACAACCGCCACCGCAUUUUCAGCAGCCCCAUUUUCCAGUGCAGCCUCAUCAGCAGCAUUUUCCCCAGCCACAACCACCACCCUCUGCUUACCAUCCUCUGCCACCGCAGCAGCCAAAUUACUUCCAAAUGCCACAGUCUUACUAUCCUCUGCCACCGCAGCAGCAGCCAAAUAAUUACUUCCCAAGGCCGCCGUCUUACCAUCAUACUCCUCACCAGAAGCAGCAGCAGCAGCAACCACCGCGGCGACCACCCGAUGGAGGAGCAGGACAUGGAAGAUCAGCUGUCUAGCUCUACUGCUCUAGAUAGUUUCUAAUAUUUGCUUCUGUUUUUUGAUAUGAGAUUAUAUGCCAAUAGACUAUUCAUUUGUUUAUGCUCAUAUCAACUUUUGGAUUAUGCAAAUAUAAUAAUGAAAUGACAUUUUUUUUUUAAAAAAAAGGAUAAAAAAAUCAUGUCAGUAAUCAUUUCAAUGCAAAUUAUUACUUUGUUACAGAUUAACUACUUACAUUUUAUAUAUAUAUAUAUAUAUAUAUAUAUAUGAUGUGAUUAUUUUUACGAACAAAAUUUAAAAUCGUGUAAUUUUAUAAUGAUAUAAAUUCCCUUUCCAA